GCUAUUUUGGCAGAUUAGUGCAAUAAAUUUAGAAUUUAUUAAUAUAGUUUUAUUCUAUAAAUAGUA
rnacentral:tRNA from 1 species